CAUGGUUGUCGUCAGCUCGUGUCGUGAGAUGUUGGGUUAAGUCCCGCAACGAGCGCAACCCUUGAUCUUAGUUGCCAUCAUUAAGUUGGGCACUCUAAGGUGACUGCCGGUGACAAACCGGAGGAAGGUGGGGAUGACGUCAAAUCAUCAUGCCCCUUAUGACCUGGGCUACACACGUGCUACAAUGGACGGUACAAAGAGUCGCAAGACCGCGAGGUGGAGCUAAUCUCAUAAAACCGUUCUCAGUUCGGAUUGUAGGCUGCAACUCGCCUACAUGAAGCUGGAAUCGCUAGUAAUCGCGGAUCA
rnacentral:rRNA from 3 species